UUGAUGUUAACGAGUUGAAACACAGAAUUACAUAAUGAGAUACGUUCUCAAAAAUUAUUCUGGGAAAAGUCCCCGGACCCAGACCCGAGAGGGUGUAUUUGAAAGAAUACCAUCCGUGUGGUUAUAUGCCCCAGACACUUGCGCUUCUGGUAAUGAACUUAGUGAACCUUGCGUUUGUCGCGGUGAUAGUCAGUUUACAUAAUAGAUAUUUCAACAAUAUACACAAUGGGGCUUAGCGUUGACAUCU
rnacentral:RNase_MRP_RNA from 1 species